GAUUAAAAUUUGUCUCAAUAUCGAUUGAAUUUAUUGAUAUUUCCUUAUUUUCUUGAGUCUCGGGCUCAAUGGAUUCUUCAUGAAUCUCAGAAUUUAUUAAAUCAUGAAUUUCCUCAUGAGAUUCUUUCGUAGUGUCAUUUCUCAAUGGAUUCUUCAUGAAUCUCAAAAUUUAUUAAAUCGUGAAUUUCCUCAUGAGAUUCUUUUGUAGUAUCACUUUGAUCGUUUGGUUUCCUUUUUCUAGGAUUUCUAUCUUUGAACCUAAUGGUUUGCCACGUUUUAGGCGUUUUUUCGACUCAUUAGAUAUGACACUAGAAGAUUGUCCAAUAGGGACAUCAAUACG
rnacentral:lncRNA from 1 species